rnacentral:rRNA from 1 species
ACGAACGCUGGCGGCGUGCCUAACACAUGCAAGUCGAGCGGAGGGGAAAGGAGCUUGCUUCUUGAACCUCAGCGGCGGACGGGUGAGUAACACGUGGGUAACCUGCCCUUGAGAGGGGGAUAACAGGUCGAAAGGCCUGCUAAUACCGCAUAACGCUAAGAAGCUGCAUGGCGUCUUAGCCAAAGGUUAAUUCCGCUCAAGGAUGGGCCCGCGGCCCAUUAGCUAGUUGGUGAGGUAAUGGCUCACCAAGGCGACGAUGGGUAGCCGGCCUGAGAGGGUGGUCGGCCACACUGGGACUGAGACACGGCCCAGACUCCUACGGGAGGCAGCAGUGGGGAAUAUUGCGCAAUGGGGGAAACCCUGACGCAGCGACGCCGCGUGAGCGAUGAAGGCCUUCGGGUUGUAAAGCUCUGUCUUCCCUGACGAUAAUGACGGUAAGGGAGGAGGAAGCCACGGCUAACUACGUGCCAGCAGCCGCGGUAAUACGUAGGUGGCGAGCGUUGUCCGGAAUUACUGGGCGUAAAGGGUGCGUAGGCGGCUCUUUAGGUGGGAUGUGAAAUCCCCUGGGCUCAACCCAGGAACUGCAUUCCAAACUGAAGAGCUAGAGUGCAGGAGAGGAAAGCGGAAUUCCCAGUGUAGCGGUGAAAUGCGUAGAGAUUGGGAGGAACACCAGUGGCGAAGGCGGCUUUCUGGACUGUAACUGACGCUGAGGCACGAAAGCGUGCGGGAGCAAACAGGAUUAGAUACCCUGGUAGUCCACGCUGUAAACGAUGGGUACUAGGUGUAGGGGGCGAAGCCCUCUGUGCCGCAGCUAACGC